CGUGGGGCUCAAACACGCAAACCGUGAGAUCAUGACCUGAGCCAAAGCUUAACUGACUGAGCCACUCCGGGCGUCCCUAGUUUUUUUUUUUUUAAUCUUCUGAAAGUUUGCAUGACAAGAUACUUGCUCAUCUGCAAAUAAGAAGCCAAGGUGUAAGUCUCUGUUUCCUGGGGAAUCAUCCAACUUUGAUCCAUGGUCUUUAUAGGAAAGGAAAUAUGGUGUUUUGAGUUACAGCAGACACCUGACAUCCUGUGUGUAUGUGUGUGUGUGUGUGUGUGUGUGUGUGUGUGUGUGUGUAUGUGUGUUUCUCAGAAAAGAAAAUAUUCUUAAGUAUACGUCCGUAAUCAGGGGCUGCCCUCUCACCCAGAGCUAUUUAUGGUCAGUGGGGCCAUAAUUCUGCCUGCAGAAAGACGAAAGGUGCACAUUGCCAAUAUAAUCGGACGGCAGGCACAAGGUGCACUGUGUAAGGGCUGACCUCCUCUCUGUCUUUUGGUUAAUCCUGCCCUAAGACUUGUCACUUAGGAGAACGCUCCCUUCUUUUUCUUUUUCCCUUUGCAUUUCCCCAUUUCUGUUGACUCUGGUCCCCAUCUUUCAGAACCAAGAAGAUCCUUUGGAGAAAAUGAAACAUAAAACAUAACCUCAAUCCCAACAAGCUCCAAGUUCAAAGGAAAAGGCGUGGGAGCAGGAGAAAAAGUCAUAGCACACGUGAAAGAGACCUCUGUGAAGUGUCCUUGGGUCUGAGACACCUGGGUUCAAAUCUGGCUCUGCUCUUGGCCAUCUCCAUGACCUUGAGCAAAUCAUUCUGCUCUGCUCCUCUGAAAAGCUGGGCUGCCUCAUAGGGUCAUGUGAGGAUGAAGUGUAUUCAUACAUGUGAACUGAUUGGGGCCUGGCACACGAAAAUGCUCAAAUGUGAGCUGUUGUUCUUAAAAAGAAAGUCUUAGUAUGUUUGAAAAUAAGCAAUUUUUCACAAUUAUUCAUUUUCCCAUGGAAAGUGGGGUUUGAAUGAAAUCCAAGGCAGUAGAGUGCGUCCAACACUGCUGUGUGGGCCAGACUUGGAGAAGGAUAGAAUGUGCUACAGGGAGGAGCACUAAUAUUUAUUGAGUGCCAGCUGUAUGCCAAGCAUCCUUGAGAUGGUUUGCAUAAAUUAUGUUAUUAAAUGCUCACACACACACACGCAAAAAAAAAAAAAAAAAAAAAAAAAAACCACGAUGGAAGGAGGCACGAUUCAAUUUACACAAAAUUCUUUGCAAAUAUUACCUUACUGUCUCAGCCAGUCUUCCCAGCCAGCUCUGUGGGAUAGGACUGUUUCUGUUCCCAUUUCACAGAUGAGGAAAGAGAGGUGAAGCACCUUCUCACUAAUAGCCCUGUGCUGGGGAGUCCCAGACCUGGGAUCCAAACCCGGGUCCGCCUUCUUCCGAUUGACCUACAGGUUUCUGAGCACCUAGUGUGUGCGGUUCUUUGAGAAACUCUUCAUGCGGCUAAACCGUUCUUGAAAAUCUUGAGACCACUUUUCUCACUUCUCACCGCAGGUUUCCAAAAAAUGUGCCGACCCUAGAGGAGGAGGAGGGCUGCAGCUUGCAUUGAAUCAGACCCCUAAACAAUGACACAAAUAGGGAAUAGGAAUAAUAAUGAUAAUGACUCUCCAGAAAGCAGUUAUAAGGGAAUCCUUUGCUGUAAUCCUUGGCCAGGAGAAACACUGGUUAAGCCCAAAGGAGUCAAGCUGAUGGGGUGGAGAGGUUGAUGCAGGUGUCCUUUCCCCAAGGGGCGUGGCCACUGUAACUGUGAUCAUAACAGUGAGGAAGGUGAGCAGGAUCUCUCUUCGUUGAAAGUUUGCCUUACACCAGACCCUGUAGAAGUACGAGGAAGACGUGAUCUCAUGAAUUCCUACAAGGUGCCGCAGCUCAGUCUCCUCUGUUUUACUGAUUACAAAUAAUAACAACUAAGGCAAGAAGUUGGAUGGAAGUUGAACAGCUAACAAGUGGCCAGUUAUAGGAAUUGAAGGUUGGUGGUGACUUCACAUACUGUGUUCUUAAUCUCUGUCCCCAGUUGAGUAAGUCCCUUGUCCCUCCCUCUCUCCUCUCACAUCUGUUGAUUCACAAGUGCACCUGUGCUUACAUCCAUCUGUGCAUGCAUUCAUCCAUCCAUCCAUCCAUCCAUCCAUCCAUCUAUGCAUUUAUGCAUCCAUCUGUCUAUCCUCCAUCCAUCCAUCCAUCCUCCACUCCAACAGUGAGAGCAUGGCAGGCACUCUGCCCAGCACUGCCACGACCUUUAUGAACAGGACAGACGUACUCCCUGCCCUUGGGAGGAUCACUGCAGUGAGCUUCCAGCAGAUGAAGGGUAGCGCCGCUGCCGAUACUCAGGCUAUCAACAGAGAGGUUCCUUUCGAAUCCUAGCCUAAUUCACUGCUGGUUUCACUUCCCCAGAGUGGCCUCUUGGACACAAGAAGAAGGUUUCGUCUGGACAGGUUGGGGGUCAGGAAUGGUGUGAUUCAGGGGCCUGGAAGCCUUCAAGUCUCCCACCAAUGCCCCAAACUGCCUAGCAUGAGGUCUGGACUGCUCCACUCAUGGGGCUCAAGCUCUUCAUAUUGCUUAAUAAGGAGCCUGGAGAUUAGCAGUGAGCUGCCUGAAGGUUGCAAGGGGAGCAGGUGGUCAGAGGCUGUGGGGCCUGGGAGGCGUGUCCUGUGAUGUUUGCGGGCCAGAGGGAGUGCUCUGACAUUUGGAGUUCAUAGCAUCUGAACUCCGCCAUUCAUAUCUGUGGGACUCAGAUGUGUUACUUCAGCUCUCAGGGACCCAGUUUUCUCGUGCGCGAUGCACGAACCGUGAAGGCACCUACCUGGGAGGGCCUGGUGAUGAGGCACAACUCUGGCCCGUGAUCAGUGCUCCCGUUUUCCUUCCUGAUUCGUGCCCUUUGGGUAGGUUUUGUUUGGCCACACAGUAUAUUAAAAUAAAAAGGCACUGAAGUUUGAGGAUUAAGAUAUGCUAUAAAAUGAUACGGAUUAUUGGAAUUCCUUUAAAAAGUCACAAGAUCUGGCAGUGCGGGGCCCACAUUCUUGCUUGUUUUUCAACUGGCCGGGCUGUGGAGGGACUGUUUCUGAGACCCUCCAGAUUCCUGAGACCACUCCCCGCCCCAAGAUCUUUUCUUUCCCCUCUUGUAUCUGACUGGCCCCUUUAGGCUGUUGAAUUUGCAACCUCUCUCUGGAAGAUGUCCCUGUUAAAAAUAAGUGCCUGUGGUCACCUGUCAAUUAUCCCCAUGCGGUUUAUUCACAGCACUUAUUUACCUGACUGCUUUUGCUUGCCUUGGGCAUGAUGGAGGUUUUCUUCCCUUUCUUGCAGUGGGUGAAUACUCAGAAGAUGCAAAUUCUUACAAGGAUUAGGCCAUUGUGAAGGCAGCAGUCCUCAACAUUCUACAAGUCUGGUAAACCAGCAUGCAGAGAACGUGCCGUUUUGAAUGGCCUGCCUUCCCCGCACAGCCUCGUCCCACAAUAGCAUGUAUCAGGGUGUUGAGGGUUUCCUGAGAGCUGGGCACGGCUGGUGGAAGAGUGGAACGUUCUACUGGAGCACCUUGGCUUGGAUUCCAACACUGUCAGGGACCAACUGUUACUUCCGUCUUUUUUUGUGUGCCUUUUUUGGCUCUUCUGUCAGAUGAUUAAGCCCACUGCCCACCUUGGGUUGAGAGGACCUAAUUCGAUGAAUAGAUGAGAAUGUGCUUGGUAAUCCCUAGGGAACCAGGAACCAGUGAAUGAGGGAAAUCACUAGAGACUUCCCACCCACCCAUCAGUGUGAACGUUGAUUCACCAGGUCACUUGAGCUGCCGUGUGCAGGGCACUGUGCAGAGCACGUGGGGAAGACAGACGGGCCUCCACCCUUCAUGGACUGGAUGGUCGUGGGGCAGGGUGACCCCUAGAUAAACAGAAACCAGAAAAAAUUUAAAAAUCAAAUUGUUACAGGGCCACCUGGGUGGCUCAGUUGAUUAAGCGUCCGACUUUGGCUCUGACCUGUUCUGAUCAUGACUUUUGUCACGAUCUCACAGUUCCUGAGUUCAGGGCCCAGCGUCGGGCUCUGUGCCGACAGCAGCCUGAAGCCUGCUUCAGAUUCUGCGUCUGCUUCUCUCUCUGCCUCUUCCCUGCUUGCGCCCUGUCUCUCUCUCUCUCAAAAAAAAAAAAAAAAAAUUACCAAUUUUUUUAAAUAAAAAAAAAAUCAAAUUGUUACAGGCGUAGCAAUGGAAGCAGUUGGGGAACUGAGAGAAAACAAGGGGCAGCCGGUGAGGAUUUUUGGAGGGUGAGGUGGAUUAAUUUUAUUUAGUUUUGGUUGAUGGACACCUUUUGCCAGAGUAGCUCCAGACUGGUCCCAGGAAUCCCAAGUGUGGUUUGCACCCCAGUUCUGAUCUGCCAGUGAUGAAAGCAGCUUUUUCUUUUUUUUAAUAAUUGUUUUAAGUUUAUUUGUUUAUUUUGAGAGAGACAGAGAGACAGAAUCCCCAGCGGGCUAUGUAGGGUCAGUGGAGAGCCCGAUGUGGGAUCAUGACCUGAGCCCAAAUCAGGAGUGGGACGCUUCACUGACUGAGCCACCCCCCUGCCCCUUAAAGCAGCUUUUAAUAGAGUUUCUGUCCAUAUCUCUGCAAAAUUUAUUCAGUUCUGAAAUUUGAGGUAUAUUCUUUUAAGUGUUUUUUUUUUUUAACUGAAAUGUACUGCAUAAACAAAAGUGCACAUUAUUCUAAAUGCACACCUCAGUGGGUUUUCACAAACUGAACACACCCGAGUAACCCACACAUCAGACCAUCCGCCACAGCCCCCAUGCACACCGCCCCUGCUGCUUGGGUGAAUGUUUUUAAAACUUGUAAUGCUGUAUGUUUCUUUAAACGUGUAUUAGGGAAAACAUACAAAUAUAACCGUUCAAUCAAAAUGACAGCUUCAGGGCUCUUACUGCUUAGCAUGUGAGUAAAGCAGCGUUUAAGUACAAAAGGUCGGUUACCACGAUGAAAAUGCGUAAGUGAGAGCACCAAGCCUUAAUUCUAUCCUAACGAUGGCAUCCGUUUGGGUGGUUAAUGACAAGGAAGUGCCCGAAUGACCAAAGUUUGGUAAAUGUCGGGUUAACCCGCCUGAAGACACUUUGUUCCUUUGGUAAACAGCAGUGCCAUUUUGUUCUGAGGUUUGAGUGGAGAGGAUUUAAGUCACACAUUAGGAACUGUGCACUGGGUCUGAGCGGAAUCUCCCCGAUGUUCUCAUUUGCUGCCUGUGUCGCUCCUGCAGGAAUGGGGCUCCUCCGGCCCGUCUUGGGGACUUGGGUCCGGGUUCUUCAUCUGCAGCUCUUAGAUUCACGCUGCACGCUGGCCUCGCGUUGACUGUGUAUGUCAGCCCCCCAUGUGUUGUCACACAUGGACUUAACCAUGAUGCAUGCGUUCCCAGAUGGGCCUGUAAUGACUCCGUCAACUUAACCCCGAAUCAAGACUCUCCUGUCCAGAACCAGGGUAGCAGAAACCCAGUACGGCCUGAGUAGCAAUUCAAAAGGGCAGCAGAGACAGCUAAUCAGUUCAUAAUGAGCAAGGAGACAGGCAAUGAAAAGAGAGCCCACGGAGGGCCUGAUAGUUUCACAAAGUCUCAGCACUCAACCAGGCUCAUGUUAAUAAAACAAACAAAUGUUUUUGGUCACGGAGAGCUAAUGUGUACGUUAUUUAAGGAUAAUAUUAAAACCAGAUUAGAUGGGUCAAGUAACAGAGUGGUUCCCUCAUUGAGCAUCUUCUCUUUGGAGAUGUGGGAAAGUUGCUCUCUUUCCGUUUUUCUUCUUUCCUUGUGAAAUGGGGCUUUAUUAAUUAGAGAUGUAAUGGGAAAUCUUUUUUUCUUUUCCCCCAGACUGGUGGCUGUUUUCUGUUUAUUUUUUAAUGUAGGACCAUGCUUUGCAGAUGUUCUCUUUGAAAUAAAAGCCUAUUCAUUGUC